rnacentral:lncRNA from 1 species
AAAAACUGAAAAGUAAUAUUAUACUCAAAUUAACUUAUUAUUUAAUAUAAUAUUCAUAAACAUUAUACUCAAAUUAUAUUUUAAUCAAGAAUAAUCAGAAUAACACCUUCGUAUAACACCUUAUUGUUGGAGAUAGAAAAUUAGUGAAAUAUGGAUAGUGCCACAAGGAGGUGCUAAAAUGAGAAUAGCACCUCCGAAUAGCACUUAUUGUUGGAGUUGCCCUAAGAUCAACUCUAAAGCUCGGCACACAUAGAACAUUAUUCAAUUGAAAAGAAUUAUUAAACCGAAUUAAACCAAUCAUAGUAAUUUCAGCCCUACCUCCAUUGGGUACCCAGAGAUAACACCCACAAUCUGUUCCUCGUUCUCUCCUCAGUUCUUCUUCCUCAGAACCCAGCCCUCAACCACUUCUCCUCUUCUUUUCCCUCACCAUCACCCAGCCCUCACCCAAAAUAUCUCUUCUCAGUUCUCACGCUUGUUUUCUUUGGUUCCCAAACUUGUCUUCUCCAAGUCUCCGAUCCAAACUCAAUUUUCAUGUCAGAUCUGUAAUAUCCCACAUCGGCCAAACGGAGAGGGGUUAUGUGCUGUAUAUGUACAUGCCCACCUCCAAUCUAACACGAGGCCUUUUGGUGGCUAAACGGAUUCGAAGGAGAUGGGUACUCCGAGGUUAAGCAUGUUGAUGCUAGAGCAAUCCCAAGAUGGGUGACCUACUGGGAAGCUGCUCCUGAGCUGUCGAAAACAAAACUGUGAGGGCCGAUGGGCCCAAAGCGGACAAUAUCGUGUUACGGCGAAAUGGGUCCUGGGAUGUGACAAAUGGUAUCAGAGCCACUCUGUCGUGUGGUGCGAGUGUGCCGACGAGGGCGUCGGACUCCCAAGGGGGGUGGAUUGUAAUAUCCCACAUCGGCCAAACGGAGAGGGGUUAUGUGUUGUAUAUGUACAUGCCCACCUCCAAUCUAACACGAGGCCUUUUGGUGGCUCAGCGGAUUCGGAGGGGAUGGAUACUCCGAGGUUAAGCAUGUUGAUGCUAGAGCAAUCCCAGGAUGGGUGACCUACUGGGAAGCUGCUCCUGAGCUGUCGGAAACAAAACCGUAAGGGCCGGUGGGCCCAAAGCGGACAAUAUCGUGUUACGGCGGAAUGGGUCCUGGGAUGUGACAAGAUCUCUCUAAAUUAGUUCCUUAUCCUUGUAUCAUUUCUAGGUUAGUAUGGUUAUGGUGUUUGUAUCAUUUCUAGGUUAGUAUGGUUAUGGUGUUAGAUUGAAGCUUUAAGAUGCGCAAAUGGUUUUGUUAGAUAGAAAUUUAUGGUAGUGUAUGUUUACUGUGUCUAACCUAUCAUGCUCUAUGUGUUUACAAUUUUCAAUGAUUUGAUAUUUGAAUUCGUUUCAAUUAUGUCUAGAUUGCCCAGCUGAAAUUUGUAUACGAGAACCAUAGAUGUAUAAAUCACCUAUGGGUUUGACGUCUCCAUGUGUAAAGUAAAUUGUUGUACUUCAUGAAUGGUCAAGCAUUUUACUCAAAAGCAUUAUAUGUAUGUGUAUAAUGCCUGAAAAAAGCUCUCUUAAUAAUUGUAUAAUUGAAGCAUUACUGAUGUUGUUAUGUACAUCUGUAAAAUGAUUAUUAAUGUUCUUUUGAAUUUAU